GAUGAACGCUGGCGGCGUGCCUAAUACAUGCAAGUCGAGCGAACAGACGAGGAGCUUGCUCCUCUGACGUUAGCGGCGGACGGGUGAGUAACACGUGGAUAACCUACCUAUAAGACUGGGAUAACUUCGGGAAACCGGAGCUAAUACCGGAUAAUAUAUUGAACCGCAUGGUUCAAUAGUGAAAGACGGUUUUGCUGUCACUUAUAGAUGGAUCCGCGCCGCAUUAGCUAGUUGGUAAGGUAACGGCUUACCAAGGCGACGAUGCGUAGCCGACCUGAGAGGGUGAUCGGCCACACGGGAGCUGAGCCACGGUCCAGACUCCUACGGGAGGCAGCAGUAGGGAAUCUUCCGCAAUGGGCGAAAGCCUGACGGAGCAACGCCGCGUGAGUGAUGAAGGUCUUCGGAUCGUAAAACUCUGUUAUUAGGGAAGAACAAAUGUGUAAGUAACUAUGCACGUCUUGACGGUACCUAAUCAGAAAGCCACGGCUAACUACGUG
rnacentral:rRNA from 1 species